AGCUUUACACAGUGGCAGAAUCAUAGCCUAUGAGGUUUAUCUGAGGCACAAUUAUUGCUAACUGAAAACUUUUCCCCAAUACCCUGCCACGAUGACUUGAAAUAUAGUUGGUGUUAAUAAAGUAA
rnacentral:snRNA from 1 species